GUCUUGACAUCCUCUGACAAUCCUAGAGAUAGGACGUCCCCUUCGGGGGCAGAGUGACAGGUGGUGCAUGGUUGUCGUCAGCUCGUGUCGUGAGAUGUUGGGUUAAGUCCCGCAACGAGCGCAACCCUUGAUCUUAGUUGCCAGCAUUCAGUUGGGCACUCUAAGGUGACUGCCGGUGACAAACCGGAGGAAGGUGGGGAUGACGUCAAAUCAUCAUGCCCCUUAUGACCUGGGCUACACACGUGCUACAAUGGACAGAACAAAGGGCAGCGAAACCGCGAGGUUAAGCCAAUCCCACAAAUCUGUUCUCAGUUCGGAUCGCAGUCUGCAACUCGACUGCGUGAAGCUGGAAUCGCUAGUAAUCGCGGAUCAGCAUGCCGCGGUGAAUACGUUCCCGGGCCUUGUACACACCCCGCCCGU
rnacentral:rRNA from 1 species